AGUAGUUUAUAAUUUUUUUUUUUUAAAUGCAAUAUAAAUUGUAAGAUUUUCAAUAGGUUUUUAAAGGUUUUAAAAAUAUGUAUAUAAUAAUGUAAAACAAGACACAACUAAUUAACUUUCUAGUUAGACAGACGUAGGGAAAAAUUCAAAAAAGGUCUUAACAUUUUCACAUGAUUACCCGAAAAAGAUAUUUUACGGUUUUCUUUUUCCGGGAAAAUAACUGGUAAUUUGAUUUUGAUUUUUAUCAUUUAAGGUAUUGUUUACUUGGUAAAAUACAAAAAUUUGUAGUAAAGUCAAAUUACAUGUCUGCGCGGCAGAUUAACGUGCCCAUUGUUUUUAGGGGACCAAAUGGCCCUGCUGCUGGUGUUGGUGCUCAACAUUUUAUCAUUAAACUCAUAAAUACCAAAAAAAAAAUCAUUUCCUUCAAAAUUUAUACUCUAAAUAAAUGUAUAUCAAACGUUCAAAAAAACUUAAAUACCAUAUAACUUAGGUAGUUGAGAAAUUUGUUAAAGGUAAUAAAUUGGUUUGUUUAUCUGAUGUGAUGGAUGCAGUGUUAUGGUUGCAUGGUAUGGAUCAGUCCUUGGUUUGAAAGUUGUUGUACUAUACUCCUUCUGAAGAUGGUCGUGGUCUUCUAAAAUAAAAAAUGUUCAAGAAUUGUGUUUGUGCACAAGAGACCCGUUGAUUUCAAGAAUGUAAGACACUCUUUUUUCAUGUUUCUUUUUAGCUUUAAUUCAAUAUAUUUUAUAUGUUAUAAUUCAUUCCAUUACAGAGUGUGAUUUGAUUUGUUGCAGGAAUUGUGUGAUGGGAUUUUAGCAUUUGAGUAUUAUUAUUUACACAGUUCACGUAUUGCCUUAUACUUUACAUGCAUGUUUUCUAUUUAAAAGCAAUGUCUAAUUAAUUAAUGCAUCAUUAAUUAAGCUACUCCCCAAAAUUUAUUGUAGCAACAUUAACACUCUGAAGGAAACAAGACAGGAUGGACUAUAUAUAUAGAUGCCUACCGUUUCCAAGAGUGAUUUGGAUAGAAAGGAAAAAAAGUCAAUGACUCAUCCUUUAGAGAGAAGAGAAUCGUCUCCGAUAUAAGUUGAUAAGUUUACAAUUAUACCCUUGAAAACUUCUCAUACACAUCAUGUGCUCCGAUAUAAGUUGAUAAGUUUACAAUUAUACCCUUGAAAACUUCUCAUACACAUCAUGUGGCACCACAGCUCGAAAGCACCAUGUGUGCUGUUAAUACUCAACUUUUCCUGUAUAAUGUUUUAUGUGAUGUGAAUUGCCACCACCAAAAAAAUUGGGUUUUGCUUUUCUUUUAGUUUGUUGUCUUUUGGUAUUCCAUUAAGUGUGGUAUUUAGGUCUUGGACCAUGUCAUAAUUUAUUAAUUUAUUGUCACAUAAUAUAUUAAAAACACAAAAAUAUCGUAUUUUAAUUUUCUUUACACUCUGUUGCUCGAGACUCUACAUUCCAACCCAUUAUUAGAUGUCAUUUACCAAUUUAAUGUAACCCGUUUAUGACCCACUUUAGUCAUUUACCAACAAAUGAUGGUUUGCAUGUCAGUUGAAGUUAUUAACAUUACUUGUCAUGUCUUAACAGCUAUUAGCCAUGAACAUUCAAUGCAUUAAUCCUGAAGGCCUUGCAAGUUUCCAGGCAAGGUUCUUCUACUAAUUUUCACUUCACUGUUUUUUUUUAACUUAUUUAUCAUAUUGGGUAAUUAGAGAAAAUGUAUAAAUAUAUUUUUGAAUUUAUGCAUAUUAGAGUAUUAGUACAACAGUCUUUUUGUUGAUUUGGGAAGUCCACCAUACUAUAUCUAUUAUUCAUAUAAGUUAUUAAUCUAUUAUGUAGAUUUUGAGUGACUUGAAGCAUGCUUUUUGGCCUUUUCAAGUAGACCAAAGUAAAAGCCCAUUUCUAAGAGUAGCAGAGCCUCUAACUGCUCUGAUAGAUCUACUGCAUAUAUUGAAAAAAGGUCCCUAGUAUCAUGUGGAAACAGAAGCAUAACAAUAAGAAGUAGAAACAAGGUGUUCCUUAAUAGCAAUGUAGUAUUAUGUUAUAUGGUUUGGGAAAAACUCUUAAUAACAAUGUACAAUCGGCUCCCCUUAAUACCAAUGUAUUACAAUUUUUUGACAUAAUUUUAUGGAUGAAAUUGAUUGUUUUGGUGUAUAU